GGCCUUUUGGGACUUGACGGACUGUUGAGCCGACUCCAACUCGGCCCAAGCUGACUCCAACUUGACCUUCGUAUGGGAAGUCUCUUCUUGAUACAUCUCUUCUCGCUCAGUUGCCGCUUGUAGACAUUCUACGGCAACAGCUUUGUCGGCAUUUGUGGCCGCAACUUUCUCGGCCCAUGUCCUACGAAGAUCUGCGAUCCCUUAAUAUCCUCUCUCCAAUGCCGACAUGUCAUGCACCAGCUGAAAAGAAGGAGAACAGUUAGAAAAAAUAAGUAGAAGAAAGGCAAGUGGAAAACAGAAUACCAACUUACACUAAGGAUUGUCGGGUAAAAUGAUGAAAAUAUAUCGGACAUGAUUCGACUCCUCUUGUUCUCCUGAUCUAUCGGGAGACGUGCGACCUCCAAGAGCUUUUUGACCAGUUUCGGAUCACCCAGGGCCGACUCCCCAGUAGAUACCUGAAUGUCGCAGUGCUUCGUCUUCCUUUCUUGAGCCUCACCAUCGAUCGAAACUUCUGGUGCCUUCUCUCACUUCCGAGCGGAUGGCUGGUCGAUUGGAGUCAUCAUCCAUUCGGGCU
rnacentral:lncRNA from 1 species